rnacentral:rRNA from 1 species
UACAUGGGGUGCAAACGUUGCUCGGAAUUAUUGGGCGUAAAGCGCGUGUAGGCGGUCCGGUAAGUCCGCUGUGAAAGUCGGGGGCUCAACCCUCGGAUGCCGGUGGAUACUGUCGGGCUUGAGUACGGAAGAGGCGAGUGGAAUUCCUGGUGUAGCGGUGAAAUGCGCAGAUAUCAGGAGGAACACCAAUUGCGAAGGCAGCUCGCUGGGACGUUACUGACGCUGAGACGCGAAAGCGUGGGGAGCAAACAGG